rnacentral:rRNA from 1 species
CCUACGGGUUGCAGCAGUGGGGAAUACUGCACAACGGGCGCAAGCCUGAUGCAGCCAUGCCGCGUGUACGAAGAAGGCCUUCGGGUUGUAAAGUACUUUCAGCGAGGAGGAAGGCAUUAAGGUUAAUAACCUUAGUGAUUGACGUUACUCGCAGAAGAAGCACCGGCUAACUCCGUGCCAGCAGCCGCGGUAAUACGGAGGGUGCAAGCGUUAAUCGGAAUUACUGGGCGUAAAGCGCACGCAGGCGGUCUGUCAAGUCGGACGUGAAAUCCCCGGGCUCAACCUGGGAACUGCAUCCGAAACUGGCAGGCUAGAGUCUUGUAGAGGGGGGUAGAAUUCCAGGUGUAGCGGUGAAAUGCGUAGAGAUCUGGAGGAAUACCGGUGGCGAAGGCGGCCCCCUGGACAAAGACUGACGCUCAGGUGCGAAAGCGGGGGGAGCAAACAGGAUUAGAUACCCCGGUAGU